rnacentral:tRNA from 1 species
GUAGGGAGAGCUCAGUGGUAGAGCACGUGCUUAGCAUGUGAGAGAUCCUGGGUUCAAUCUCCAGUACCUCCU